GACGAACGCUGGCGGCGUGCUUAACACAUGCAAGUCGAGCGGUAAGGCCCUUUCGGGGGUACACGAGCGGCGAACGGGUGAGUAACACGUGGGUGACCUGCCUUUAGCUCUGGGAUAAGCCUGGGAAACCGGGUCUAAUACCGGAUAUGACUCCGCGGCGCAUGUUGUGGGGUGGAAAGCCUUGUGCGGCUGAGGAUGGGCCCGCGGCCUAUCAGCUUGUUGGUGGGGUGAUGGCCUACCAAGGCGACGACGGGUAGCCGGCCUGAGAGGGCGACCGGCCACACUGGGACUGAGAUACGGCCCAGACUCCUACGGGAGGCAGCAGUGGGGAAUCUUGCGCAAUGGGCGAAAGCCUGACGCAGCGACGCCGCGUGA
rnacentral:rRNA from 1 species